rnacentral:rRNA from 1 species
GAUGAACGCUGGCGGCGUGCCUAAUACAUGCAAGUCGAGCGAACAGACGAGGAGCUUGCUCCUCUGACGUUAGCGGCGGACGGGUGAGUAACACGUGGAUAACCUACCUAUAAGACUGGGAUAACUUCGGGAAGCCGGAGCUAAUACCGGAUAAUAUAUUGAACCGCAUGGUUCAAUAGUGAAAGACGGUUUUGCUGUCACUUAUAGAUGGAUCCGCGCCGCAUUAGCUAGUUGGUAAGGUAACGGCUUACCAAGGCAACGAUGCGUAGCCGACCUGAGAGGGUGAUCGGCCACACGGGAACGGAGACACGGUCCAGACCCCUACGGGAGGCCGCAGUGGGGAAUCUUCCGCAAGGGGCGAAAGCCUGACGGAGCAACGCCGCGUGAGUUAUGAAGGUCUUCGGAUCGUAAAACUCUUUUAUUAGGGAAAAAAAAAUGUGUAAGUAACUAUGCACGUCUUGACGGUACCUAAUCAGAAAGCCACGGCUAACUACGU